UACGGAGGGGGCUAGCGUUGUUCGGAAUUACUGGGCGUAAAGCGCACGCAGGUGGCUGAGCGAGUCGAUUGUGAAAGCCCUGGGCUUAACCUGGGAAUUGCAGUCGAUACUACUCAGCUAGAGUAUGGGAGAGGGUAGUGGAAUUCCCGGUGUAGCGGUGAAAUGCGUAGAUAUCUGGAGGAACACCGGUGGCGAAGGCGGCAUCCUGGACCGGUAUUGACGCUGAUGCGCGAAAGCCAGGGGAGCAAACGGGG
rnacentral:rRNA from 1 species